rnacentral:tRNA from 1 species
GCCUGGGUGGCUCAGUCGGUUGAGCGUCUGACUUCGGCUCGGGUCACGAUCUCACGGUUCGUGAGUUCGAGCCCCGCGUCAGGCU